GGCUACAUUUAAAUAUCAUGAUUGUCCAUUUGAAAAGAAAAACAAAAACACAACAACCAAACAAAAAAACACCUCAGCCAAACAGUAACGUAGCAUCAGAAUUCCUGUGUGAUGGUUUUUCCCAGUAUAAAUCCACUGGUUUUCUGCCUUAAAGAUGCAUUUCAAUAUCCAUCAGUUCUCUGAAGUCAAGAAUGGAGCAGUUUAGGAGCUGGAUUUUUGAUUCACUCCCACCCAUAGGAACUAACAAGCUUAACAAUAAGCAGCAAUUUCUUCUUAAAACUUCACAUUUAAUAUUCUUCGCUAAAAGCCCUCUUCUGUUUGUCUAGUGCAAGCCAAGACAGAAUCUGAUGCAGUGAAAUGUCCUGUUUGUUUGAUGGCAGGCAUGAGGAAGGUACUCUCUGCAAAGGAGAACAGUGGGUGCUUUGUCGGCUACCACCACUCAAGUGAAAUCCAGGUCAUGUCAAUUUCAGACCUUUUUAUUAGUCACUGCAUUCUCUAUUUCAUGCAUGCGUUAUUUCCAUUGUGUCUUUUACACUUACUGUGGUAUGUCAAGAAGCAGCAGACAAAGAUUUGUGUGUGCAGAACAAUGCAAAAGCAUUAUGGUGAAAUAACAGUGAAAUAGUUCUAACAUUAUAAUAUUACUUCAAUACAUUGUGAGAAGUAAGUAAUGCCAAUAAAAGAGCCUUUGUGUCAGUAUAACAUCAAUGGUAGGGGGUGUAUUAAUCUCACAGUAACUAUUAAGAAAUAGAGCAAUGCAGAAACUAUACAAAGGAACCGUUACUGAAAGAAUGAGAUACCGGCUGUUGUGAAACCUGUGUAAGGUAUUUUUGAACUAAGUAACUAUUAAAGACCCCUUCCAUGCAACCUUCCCUGCCGAACAUGUGCAAAUAAAGCAGAGGUCCAGCACUUUC